CCCUAUGGGGCGCAGCAGGCAAACGCUGUCGGCUCCUCCCGAUACGGCGAUCACAACCGUCACCGUCCGCCAAUCGGAGAGCGGCCAACUCUGACAAAAUCGAGCGAGAAAACGCUCGCCGGCCGGGUCGGGCAGGGAAUCGUCCAUGUUCUUGGCGCGUCGCCAGUUGCAGUUGUUGAACGCAGUGUGUUAACAUACCUGCGUAGCCCAGGGCGAACCAAGGGUCCGCCGGGGCCUGGACGAGUAUUUUGGAACAAGUUGAUCCGUCUUGCGGCACGUUGCGCGAAAGGUUCGGCUGCGAGAGAGUGUUCGAAUUGCGUUAACAACAAGUCCGUCACUGGUACUUGUGACUCCCCCCUUUGCACUGGUCCGGCAAUGAAUUGGCGGGGGAGC
rnacentral:rRNA from 1 species